rnacentral:rRNA from 1 species
UACGUAGGGUGCAAGCGUUGUCCGGAAUUAUUGGGCGUAAAGAGCUCGUAGGCGGUUUGUCGCGUCUGCUGUGAAAACGCGAGGCUCAACCUCGCGCCUGCAGUGGAUACGGGCAGGCUUGAGUUCGGUAGGGGAGACUGGAAUUCCUGGUGUAGCGGUGAAAUGCGCAGAUAUCAGGAGGAACACCGGUGGCGAAGGCGGGUCUCUGGGCCGAUACUGACGCUGAGGAGCGAAAGCGUGGGGAGCGAACAGG